rnacentral:tRNA from 1 species
GGGGAUGUAGCUCAGUGGUAGAGUGCAUGCUUCACACGUAUGAGGUCCCGGGUACAAUCCCUGGCAUCUCCA